CAGUAGCCGCGGUAAUACGGAGGAUCCAAGCGUUAUCCGGAAUCAUUGGGUUUAAAGGGUCCGUAGGCGGUCUUGUAAGUCAGUGGUGAAAGCCCAUCGCUCAACGGUGGAACGGCCAUUGAUACUGCAGGACUUGAAUUAUUGGGAAGUAACUAGAAUAUGUAGUGUAGCGGUGAAAUGCUUAGAGAUUACAUGUAAUACCAAUUGCGAAGGCAGGUUACUACCAAUUGAUUGACGCUGAUGGACGAAAGCGUGGGUAGCGAACAGGAUUAGAUACCCCUGUAGUCCCUGUCUCUUAUAC
rnacentral:rRNA from 1 species